UAACUUCAUCUCUAAAAAUAUUCUUAAAUUUUCUAUUUUACUUUUAGCGUGAGAGGGAAGGUUAUUUUUUCAAUCUGCUCUCUCUAGAUUUGCUUUGCGCAUUGUUUGUUCGUUUCCUUGUUGUAACUGGACCGGACUGUGCUUUGUACUGGAGAUAACGACGACCGACCGAUCAACGUUGUUUGUCGACUUCAUGAACCAGAACUCGAUUUCCUUGCCAGGCAAUGUGUUGAUUGGGAGACUGGAAAGUUUUAGCAAUGGCAGAGUGUGCACCUUCCACAUUAUGUAUUAAGCUGCAUAAGCGGACUAGCUGUGUCAGAGGGAAGAGCUGUUUAAUACGAAAUUCGCAUUUUAGGGUGCCACAGAGAAAGUAUUCCCAUGGAAGCUGUAAAGUUGUCCAGCUCCCUCUUGUGAAUGCGUUCAGUAUUGGACUCUCAAAUUUGAAUGCAAGUCCGUGUAAAAGGGAAAAUAGGUAUAGCUGCUUGGGAGCUCUGGUGGACCCUGAUGGUGCUACAGCAUCUGAUUUGGUUUCUAUUAGCGACCAGUUGCUUCUGAUGGCCAGCAUAGCUCUUACAUAUAUGGCUGGUGUAAUUCCUACUGAUAGGCCCAAUUUGACUUCUUGGAGGAACAUCGCAAAUAACAUUGUGGUCCAUGACAGCACAGCGUCUUCUGGUAGUGCUAAGAAGGAAGACCAUGUUAACAUAAAUUAUGCUUGGGAUGCAGUAGGGGCAAAACUCUUGGAUUCUCUUCAUGCUAUAGAACACAAUAUCAAUCUGGGAAACAAACUCCUUGAAAUUGAGCAACAGCGUCCAAAGCAACCCUUAAGUUUGUAUGCUGUAUCUGAGGGUCCCAAGUUGCGACUACUUUGGGCUUCUUUUAAACAACUGAGGGAUGAGGCAGGCACUGUCACUAUUUUCUUUCUCCUAUUAUCUCUCUCUCUCUCUGUAGAUAAAAUUGUCUCCUAAUAUUAGUUUGAUAAGCCAAUGGAAAAUAGGAAUUGUUUUUCUUAAAUCUGUCAGCUUUGAGUUACUUCACUAGAUGGGCAUCCGGGGCUUAAUAAUAUUGUAUAAUAUGUCAGGGCCAAAUAAUAUUGCGUGAAAUUGGUUCUAUUUGGAAUGGUCUCUCAAAUGGGGCAUGUAAAAUAUUUGACAGGGACGUUUGACAAACCUAAAGUAUGCAUUUUACCAUCAUUCAUUAGUACUUUGGAAAUUAAGGGUUUCAUAAUUUUUGUUCGCAGGUGAAUGAUGUUUUUGGUGAUUGUGAGGAUUUUAAUUUGGAUGACUGGUUGACUAUUUUUCCUGAAAUUAUUCAAAAAUCUUGUAACUGCAUAUCCAUGGCUUGGCUAGUAGAAGAACUUCGUCUUGAAAACAAGAAACUGAAUGAGGCACUUCUCUCUUUGAUGAUUCAGAAGUUAAAGGGAGAUGAAACUGUUUUGCAGACAAUAAGAAAGUCAGGCAAGGAAGAUCUUUAUGCAGAAUUAUUGUACUCUCUUAGAUUUGGUUCUCUCAGCAGGAAGAGUUGCUGUUAUGACCAGAGCUUGUUUACUUUGCAUGGAAAUUCUAUAUUGGAAGAUUUGGUAAUAACUUUAGCAGAUGGCAUUGCCAGUGUUUAUUUGAAGCUUAUUUCUGUUGAUGGUUAUUUGUCAAAUGAAAAGAACAACCUGGGAAUGGCUAUGUGUAAUUUGUCAACCCGAGCACUCCAAAGAUUGCGAAAUGAGGUGGCUUUGAAUCAAUGGUUAUAUCAAAAUGUGGAGGCAGUUGUAUCAAUGUAUGAGGAUCGAUUUGAUCUAUGCACUCUACAGUCAAUAGUCAUUGAGGGACCAAGCAAGAAUCAGACUGAAAAUCCUAGUUGGUGGAAGAAUCUAACUGGGAGAAAACAUGGAACAAUACCAUGUUCAUUAAGUUAUGUUGUCAUAAGCCAGUUCUCUAUGCCUGUAAAACGGACCAAGGAAUUAAGGGCCUUAACAGGGUGGUAUGUCUCUAUUCUUUGACCCUGCAUUUUUUUUCCCUCUUGCAUGUGACAUAAACAUGUCUUCCAGUUGGAUGUGGAACUGAGGAUUCAUUCAAAGCAAUGAUGAAAUAUAGCUGAAACAUAGAGCCUUAUUUUUCUCUUAUUUCAUUUUCUUUACAUCGUAAGGUAUGUCUCCUGAAAAUAUCAUGGUUUGAACCUGAACUUCUUAACAUUGUAGAUUGUUCAAUAUGUUUUUUUCCCAUGGGAUCAGAAUAGGAUGGUGGCUGAAGUGGAGUUGUUAACUUUUGGCUGUAUAAAAGUUAUUGGGAAUUCUGGAAAAUAAAAUUUGCAAUAUUUUGGCGAAGUGGAUGGGUGGAACAGAUGAAAAACUUUUUGUUAGAUUUGAAAUGGUGCAUGGAUUAAUUUCUUGAGGUAAUCUAUAAUUGUUUAGCUGAUUCUGUAAUUUGAUCAGGGCAUUGCUAAACAGUGAUAGUACCUUUAGGAAAUGAGUUGUUGUGCUAGGAAGCAAUCACUUUCACAAUUAGGGUAAUAUUUUUGGAUUUGGACUAUUGCUGUUAUCAAAUAAUGGUUUAGACCACGGGGAUUUGGAAAUUGGUUUGACAUGUUGUAAAAUUGCUAAAACUCUGUGCAUUCCAUGAUCUCUUCGAGAAGAGAGGUAACGGACCUGAUCUCUUCAAUUAUUUACAAUUAUGCUUAAAUUUACUGGUCCCUUGCACCUUAGUGCUCUUCUUUCUUUAUUGCUACCCCUUCACACACUCUUCCUCUAUCUUCUUCCUUUCUUUCCUUGUUGCAGAUUUGCUGAUUUUUUGGUUUAACCAUUUAAUCUAAUUGAAAGAACCAAUACUUCCAUGGAGCUGUGUCAAGUGCUGGGAUUUUUUGUCCUACCAUCCAAUCAUAUUUUGCUACAUUCUUCAACUACUGAGAUACUACUUUAGUCUGUACCUUGAGUUAUCGGAUAUUUCCAUGCCAUUGAUUAGAGCUAUCAUCAACAAAGUUAGCAAUGCCAUAUCAUUCUUUCUAGUUUCCUUGAUUGGGAGGUCAUUAGGACUUAUCUACUCUGGAA